CCUACGGGUGGCUGCAGUGGGGGAUAUUGCACAAUGGGUGCAAGCCUGAUGCAGCCAUGCCGCGUGUGUGAAGAAGGCCUUCGGGUUGUAAAGCACUUUCAGCGGGGAGGAAGGCGUUAAGGUUAAUAACCUUGGCGAUUGACGUUACCCGCAGAAGAAGCACCGGCUAACUCCGUGCCAGCAGCCGCGGUAAUACGGAGGGUGCAAGCGUUAAUCGGAAUUACUGGGCGUAAAGCGCACGCAGGCGGUCUGUCAAGUCGGAUGUGAAAUCCCCGGGCUCAACCUGGGAACUGCAUUCGAAACUGGCAGGCUAGAGUCUUGUAGAGGGGGGUAGAAUUCCAGGUGUAGCGGUGAAAUUCGUAGAGAUCUGGAGGAAUACCGGUGGCGAAGGCGGCCCCCUGGACAAAGACUGACGCUCAGGUGCGAAAGCGUGGGGAGCAAACAGGAUUAGAUACCCUAGUAGUC
rnacentral:rRNA from 1 species